UGCCCAGUAGCUUAGUGGUUAAGGCAUUUGCCGCGAAUGCAGAAGACGCUGGUUCGAACCCAGUCCUGGGCAC